rnacentral:rRNA from 1 species
CCGCGCCGCASUAACGCAUUAAGUGCCCCGCCUGGGGAGUACGGCCGCAAGGCUNAAACUCAAAGGAAUUGACGGGGGCCCGCACAAGCGGCGGAGCAUGCGGAUUAAUUCGAUGCAACGCGAAGAACCUUACCAAGGCUUGACAUGUUCUCGAUCGCCACAGAGAUGUGGUWUCCCCUUUGGGGCGGGUUCACAGGUGGUGCAUGGUUGUCGUCAGCUCGUGUCGUGAGAUGUUGGGUUAAGUCCCGCAACGAGCGCAACCCUCGUUCCAUGUUGCCAGCGGGUUAUGCCGGGGACUCAUGGGAGACUGCCGGGGUCAACUCYNAGGAAGGUGGGGACGACGUCAAAUKAUCAUGCCCCUUAUGUCUUGGGCUUCACGCAUGCUACAAUGGCCGGUACAAUGGGUUGKYAUACUGUGAGGUGGAGCWAAWCCCAAAAAGCCGGUCUCAGUUCGGAUUGGGGUCUGCAACUCGACCCCAUGAAGUCGGAGUCGCUAGUAAUCGCAGAUCAGCAACGCUGCGGUGAAUACGUUCCCGGGCCUUGUACACACCGCCCGUCAAGUCACGAAAGUCGGUAACACCCGAAGCCG